UCUCUCUUGAGUGGAUCCUGAGUACGACGGAGCACGUGAAAUUCCGUCGGAAUCUGGGAGGACCAUCUCCUAAGGCUAAAUACUCUCUAGUGACCGAUAGUGAACCAGUACCGUGAGGGAAAGGUGAAAAGCACCCCGGAAGGGGAGUGAAAUAGAACCUGAAACCGUGUGCUUACAAGUAGUCAGAGCCCGUUAAUGGGUGAUGGCGUGCCUUUUGUAGAAUGAACCGGCGAGUUACGAUUUGAUGCAAGGUUAAGCAGUAAAUGUGGAGCCGUAGCGAAAGCGAGUCUGAAUAGGGCGUUUAGUAUUUGGUCGUAGACCCGAAACCAGGUGAUCUACCCUUGGUCAGGUUGAAGUUCAGGUAACACUGAAUGGAGGACCGAACCGACUUACGUUGAAAAGUGAGCGGAUGAACUGAGGGUAGCGGAGAAAUUCCAAUCGAACCUGGAGAUAGCUGGUUCUCUCCGAAAUAGCUUUAGGGCUAGCCUCAAGUGAUGAUUAUUGGAGGUAGAGCACUGUUUGGACGAGGGGCCCCUCUCGGGUUACCGAAUUCAGACAAACUCCGAAUGCCAAUUAAUUUAACUUGGGAGUCAGAACAUGGGUGAUAAGGUCCGUGUUCGAAAGGGAAACAGCCCAGACCACCAGCUAAGGUCCCAAAAUAUAUGUUAAGUGGAAAAGGAUGUGGCGUUGCCCAGACAACUAGGAUGUUGGCUUAGAAGCAGCCAUCAUUUAAAGAGUGCGUAAUAGCUCACUAGUCGAGUGACACUGCGCCGAAAAUGUACCGGGGCUAAACAUAUUACCGAAGCUGUGGAUUGUCCUUUGGACAAUGGUAGGAGAGCGUUCUAAGGGCGUUGAAGCAUGAUCGUAAGGACAUGUGGAGCGCUUAGAAGUGAGAAUGCCGGUGUGAGUAGCGAAAGACGGGUGAGAAUCCCGUCCACCGAUUGACUAAGGUUUCCAGAGGAAGGCUCGUCCGCUCUGGGUUAGUCGGGUCCUAAGCUGAGGCCGACAGGCGUAGGCGAUGGAUAACAGGUUGAUAUUCCUGUACCACCUAUAAUCGUUUUAAUCGAUGGGGGGACGCAGUAGGAUAGGCGAAGCGUGCGAUUGGAUUGCACGUCUAAGCAGUAAGGCUGAGUAUUAGGCAAAUCCGGUACUCGUUAAGGCUGAGCUGUGAUGGGGAGAAGACAUUGNNNNNNNNNGUCUUCGAGUCGUUGAUUUCACACUGCCGAGAAAAGCCUCUAGAUAGAAAAUAGGUGCCCGUACCGCAAACCGACACAGGUAGUCAAGAUGAGAAUUCUAAGGUGAGCGAGCGAACUCUCGUUAAGGAACUCGGCAAAAUGACCCCGUAACUUCGGGAGAAGGGGUGCUCUUUAGGGUUAACGCCCAGAAGAGCCGCAGUGAAUAGGCCCAAGCGACUGUUUAUCAAAAACACAGGUCUCUGCUAAACCGUAAGGUGAUGUAUAGGGGCUGACGCCUGCCCGGUGCUGGAAGGUUAAGAGGAGUGGUUAGCUUCUGCGAAGCUACGAAUCGAAGCCCCAGUAAACGGCGGCCGUAACUAUAACGGUCCUAAGGUAGCGAAAUUCCUUGUCGGGUAAGUUCCGACCCGCACGAAAGGCGUAACGAUUUGGGCACUGUCUCAACGAGAGACUCGGUGAAAUCAUAGUACCUGUGAAGAUGCAGGUUACCCGCGACAGGACGGAAAGACCCCGUGGAGCUUUACUGUAGCCUGAUAUUGAAAUUCGGCACAGCUUGUACAGGAUAGGUAGGAGCCUUUGAAACGUGAGCGCUAGCUUACGUGGAGGCGCUGGUGGGAUACUACCCUAGCUGUGUUGGCUUUCUAACCCGCACCACUUAUCGUGGUGGGAGACAGUGUCAGGCGGGCAGUUUGACUGGGGCGGUCGCCUCCUAAAAGGUAACGGAGGCGCUCAAAGGUUCCCUCAGAAUGGUUGGAAAUCAUUCAUAGAGUGUAAAGGCAUAAGGGAGCUUGACUGCGAGACCUACAAGUCGAGCAGGGUCGAAAGACGGACUUAGUGAUCCGGUGGUUCCGCAUGGAAGGGCCAUCGCUCAACGGAUAAAAGCUACCCCGGGGAUAACAGGCUUAUCUCCCCCAAGAGUUCACAUCGACGGGGAGGUUUGGCACCUCGAUGUCGGCUCAUCGCAUCCUGGGGCUGUAGUCGGUCCCAAGGGUUGGGCUGUUCGCCCAUUAAAGCGGUACGCGAGCUGGGUUCAGAACGUCGUGAGACAGUUCGGUCCCUAUCCGUCGUGGGCGUAGGAAAUUUGAGAGGAGCUGUCCUUAGUACGAGAGGACCGGGAUGGACAUACCUCUGGUGUACCAGUUGUCGUGCCAACGGCAUAGCUGGGUAGCUAUGUGUGGACGGGAUAAGUGCUGAAAGCAUCUAAGCAUGAAGCCCCCCUCAAGAUGAGAUUUCCCAACUUCGGUUAUAAGAUCCCUCAAAGAUGAUGAGGUUAAUAGGUUCGAGGUGGAAGCAUGGUGACAUGUGGAGCUGACGAAUACUAAUCGAUCGAAGACUUAAUCAA
rnacentral:rRNA from 1 species